rnacentral:rRNA from 1 species
UACGAAGGGGGCUAGCGUUGUUCGGAAUCACUGGGCGUAAAGGGCGCGUAGGCGGCCGAUCAAGUCGGGGGUGAAAGCCUGUGGCUCAACCACAGAAUUGCCUUCGAUACUGUUUGGCUUGAGACCGGAAGAGGUUAGUGGAACUGCGAGUGUAGAGGUGAAAUUCGUAGAUAUUCGCAAGAACACCGGUGGCGAAGGCGGGUCUCUGGGCAGUAACUGACGCUGAGGAGCGAAAGCGUGGGGAGCGAACAGG